rnacentral:rRNA from 1 species
AGCAGCCGCGGUAAUUCCAGCUCCAAUAGCGUAUAUUAAAGUUGCUGCAGUUAAAAAGCUCGUAGUUGAAUUUCGGGACCAUCAUGUCGGUCGUGCCUCGGUACGUACUGGCAUUGUUGGUUUCUACCUUCUGACGAACCAUGAUGUCAUUUAUUUGGUGUCGUGGGAAAUCAGGACUGUUACUUUGAAAAAAUUAGAGUGUUUAAAGCAGGCUCACGCUUGAAUACAUUAGCAUGGAAUAAUGAAAUAGGACGUUUGAUUCUAUUUUGUUGGUUUCUAGGAUCGACGUAAUGAUUAAUAGGGAUAGUUGGGGGCAUUAGUAUUCAAUUGUCAGAGGUGAAAUUCUUGGAUUUAUUGAAGACUAACUACUGCGAAAGCAUUUGCCAAGGAUGUUUUCAUUAAUCAAGAACGAAAGUUAGGGGAUCGAAGACGAUCAGAUACCGUCGUAGUCUUAACCAUAAA